rnacentral:rRNA from 1 species
AUGCAACAGCGGAUGUCUAUAUUUGCGGAUGAUGCGACGAUGUUUCAGAAACCGGUGGAACGAGAGAUUGAACUAUGCUUUGAUAUAUUCGGCGAGGUCUUAGGACUACGGGUAAAUCUGAAUAGAACCUCCGCAAUGCCGAUCCGAUGCUCUGAAGAACAAGGGCAUCUCAUCACAAAUUGUCUCGGAUGUGCUAUCAGGAGUUUCCCCUGCAAGUAUCUUGGCCUCCCGCUGAGCAUUUGCAAAUUGACUGCCACGCAACUCAGAGAUCUAGUGCCGCAAGUGGUGAACAAGCUGCCACAUUGGAGAGGUGCGACCUUGCCCAAGAGUAGCAGGCUACUUCUCAUACACUCGGCGCUAUGCUCCAUUCCUCUACAUGUCAUGCUAGCUCUCAACCUACUGCCCGCAACUAUCAAGGCCGUUGAAAAGAUCUGUAGAGGUUUCUUGUGGUGUGGCAAAUGUGAGGCCAAUGGCGGUCAAUGUGCGGUGCCAUGGAGGUCAGUUUGUGCACCGAAGUGGGUUGGUGGACUAGGCACAACAGACAAAAUUAUAUUGCAAAGUUCUUCAUAUUACAUUCAAAUAGGGGUGGUCUUUAACUGGCCCGACAUUGCACGUUGCACCAGUCUCCCCGUGCUUGCUCCGCUACCAGCCCGCCGGCAGCCGCGCUGCGUGACUCGGAGUCGCCGCCAUCAUCACCAAGGUAGUGGAAGAGGCCCUCGUGCGCAUGCUGCGCAGCAAGGAGGGGAACUAUUUUUAACAAGUUCUAUAUGUUACAUUCAAAUCAUAUGA